rnacentral:rRNA from 1 species
GACGUAGGGUGCAAGCGUUGUCCGGAAUUAUUGGGCGUAAAGCGUUCGUAGGCGGUCUAUUAAGUCUGGUGUUAAAUCCCGGAGCUCAACUCCGGCAUGGCAUUGGAAACUGGUAGGCUAGAGUGUGGUAGAGGCAAGGGGAAUUCCCGGUGUAGCGGUGAAAUGUGUAGAUAUCGGGAGGAACACCAGUGGCGAAAGCGCCUUGCUGGGCCAUUACUGACGCUAAGUGUAACGAAAGCCAGGGGAGCGAAAGGG